GUGCAGCCCUAAAAAGACAAAUUAAAAAAAAAAAAACAACAACUGUGAAUGGCUGAGUGAACCUUCUCCCUCAAGGCAGUGGAAGGAACCCAUUUCUUGCUUUUUUUUGCAAGUUUCUUUCCCUCUUGACAGGUCCCCUCCAGGGCGGGAGCUGGACCUCUCUCCCCAUGUGCCCUGACUGCCCAGGAUAGAGUGGGCACAGAACCAAAUAUCUGCUGAAAGCUCUGGGCCUGGCGCCCUCCCCUUCCUGUGGACUCUGCUCUCACCUUGACGUUGACCUUGCUGGAAGACAGGCAGGUCCCGGCAGUCACCAGCAGAGAUUUUUCCUGAGGGAAACCCCUCGGCUGCAGGCCAUUCUCAGGGCUGAGGGAGGCGGGGUUGGAGGUGUGCAGCCACCAGGAUGAUUUUGGAAAGUUUUCUGGGGCUCAAGACACCUGACGACAAUUCUUGGUGGCAGGAGCACCUGGAGUGGGACUCAGAUCCCCGACGUCCCAUCCGGAAGGAGCCCUUCACACACCUGUCCCGUUCCCGAGCCUGAGGACCCAGGUAUCUCCAGGGCAUGUGGAAAUUCCUGGACCAGGGAUCGAACCGUGUCUCAGCAGUGACCAUGCUGGAUUUUCAACCCACCAGGAAACUCUCAGUGUAGGCAUUAACUACGAAGCAGCUCAAUGGGACUAAAAAAAUUCGUUAGCACACGAAAUAGAUAUUUGGAUCUUCUGAUGCUCAUGAGUGUAGUUCAGCAUCUUAAGGUAUUGUUACCAGAAGAAUUCUUGUAAAUGGCCACCCUUCGCCACCCGUCUUUAUGGGACCACUCACAGCAUUGCCGCUGUGGGGAUGCACCAACCUUCCAUGUCUGUAGGAAUCACAGGCACUGGGUCUCUGACAUCAGGGGCCAUUGUUGCAGCUUAGCAGAACACACCCUCAUAUGCACCGGUCAUUAAAAGGUCAUUUCCUGUCUCUUGUUUUUCCUGAUAUCACUGCGAUGUGAUUUGUGACAACAAAACAAGCUUUUUUUCUGCUAGCUCGGAAUUUAGAUAAAACCCCAGAGUUGAGGACAAAAGGUGACCUCGCAUUCUAAAGAGAAGUGCAAGCUCCAUCCAUGGAAGGCAGGGAGACCUGUGCAGUGACCUAGUGAUUGAUGGGGCGGGGCUUUGGCGCUGGGAGGUCAAGGGAGGUGGGCUCAGAGAUAACACUCCAUGGAGACUGGUGGGGGGGGGAAAGAGUGUGUGAGAAAAAGAGAGAGGACCUGGUCCCGCUCUCCACCUGGACGGAUGCUUGUGAAGCUCCAGAUGGAAGCUGCCAGACGGGGAGCCCCAGAGACCCUGACGCAUGUCCCAGGAUGCAGGGACAACGUCGGGCAAAGGCAGACACAGUUAGAAGGGGGAGGACAGGCUGAAGCGGUGAGGAGCGGGGAAGGUGUUGGGCAAACUGCACAAGGACAGCAAGGACAGGCGGGUUCACUGCGGGGCCUUAGCAGGAUUUCAGGGGCCACUCAAGAGAGCCACCUGGUAGGCUUGCGGAACCCGGGAGAAAGCGGCUGCCGGACUGUCCCGGACAGGAGCUGCAGGACACAACCGGUUGCAGGAACAUCUGCGAGCAUCUCUACAGGACCAGUUCAAGGGUCAGUGUUUGGAUGCCUGGGAGGCAGCGACACACCUGCGGCAUCAGUCAGAAGGACCGCCACAUCGCUUGCUGCUGACCCAAAGCAGGUGCUCAACAGAAGCCUCCCUCCUCACCUUUUGGUGUCACCAGUCCCAUCAAGUUCAAGUUACCUUGACUUUCCUUUCAGCUCCCAUGGCCACCGUGUUGCUUCAGCCUCAUCUCUCCCCCGCCUUACUCUCUGCCUGUAGGAUCUCUCCACUGAUAUUGGUCCUCCACUUGGCUCCAGAUUAAUCUUUUAAUUUUGAAAAAGUAAUUUUUUUUAGUUCCUUAUUCAAUAAGUGCAUGCUCAUUCUAGAAAAGCUGAAAGACAACAGAAAAAAAAAAUCAUCCCGGGAAAAAAAAUCAAAAUUAGAUUUUGGACUGUUUUCUUCUAAUUUUUCUGAUGUGAACAUCUUUCUGAUGGCUGGAUUUAUUUAUUUAUUUAUUUAUGUUUUGGUUUUUAGGGCUGCACUCAUAGCAUAUGGAGGUUCCCAGGUUAG